rnacentral:rRNA from 1 species
AUUGAACGCUGGCGGCAUGCUUUACACAUGCAAGUCGAGCGGUAACAGGGUGCUUGCACUGCUGACGAGUGGCGAACGGGUGAGUAAUGCGUCGGAACGUGCCGAGUAGUGGGGGAUAACGCAGCGAAAGUUGUGCUAAUACCGCAUACGUACUGAGGUAGAAAGUGGGGGGCCUUCGGGCCUCACGCUAUUCGAGCGGCCGACGUCUGAUUAGCUAGUAGGUGAGGUAAAGGCUCACCUAGGCGACGAUCAGUAGCGGGUCUGAGAGGAUGAGCCGCCACACUGGGACUGAGACACGGCCCAGACUCCUACGGUAGGCAGCAGGGGGGAAUUUUGGACAAUGGGCGAAAGCCCGAUCCAGCCAUGCCGCGUGUCUGAAGAAGGCCUUCGGGUUGUAAAGGACUUUUGUCAGGGAGGAAAUCCCUAGUGCUAAUAACACUGGGGGUUGACAGUACCUGAAGAAUAAGCACCGGCUAACUACGUGCCAGCCGCCGCAGUAA